CAGCAACCGUAUCAUUAGUUAAUUGCAAGCGUAGUUUAUUAGACAUCAACUCGCAGAAUGUGGACAGAAAGGAAUAAGUGCACACGUACGGGUUCAUUAUAACAGUAGUUUUCUCUCUCUCCAUCUAUUCAGAUCGUUACUGUGUUCUGAACUAUAAGAUUUAUCUAUUCAUAUUUAGUGCUUUACAAACUGAAAGUAUAGGCUAUAAGGCCAAAGUGUUAGAGAUUAGGAACAGUUUUUUUUUAAAGUGCAAUUUCAUGCAAGACCUGUCCAUUCUUGUACCCAAAUCUUGAAAUCUUCUCAAAAAUGGUGGUAGAUAAGAUAUGUAGAAUUGAUGGCAAUAACGGGAGGAAUUUAUUUUCAUUCCAUCUGUACCAGUUUUUGCUGGUUCACGAUUUUUUAUUAAAAAAAAACCUGCAAAAAACUUGAAGAACGUUGUUCGUGGACUUUAUUUGACUCAUAUUCGGCAACAUAUAACCUCUCUUUUUUUCUAUUCCUUUUGAACGUGUUCUUUGAUGGACAACUGCAUCCACUUAUCAGGACAUCAGGAAUCACAUGGCCACAUCAGCCAUGUAUUUAAAUAUCCAAGAUAUCGUGGCUAGCGGCAUCUCUGCUAGAAUAAUACUUUCCUCGUAAAUAUCAGUGUGCGAUACAUGAGUUAGAGGGUCUAAGAAGUUCGAUUGCUGCUCUAGAUGUCCAUGAAGAUAUCGCUGCGUAAAACGUUAUCCAGAGAAACAAUUGUGUCUAGCAGAACUUCUCUACUAGAUCACGGUCAUCGUCUUCUAUAAGUCCAUUGUUUUUCUAAUAAAAUAACAAAAAGAUGCUUUCAUCAUUAAGGGAAAAUCGAUAUGAAUGUCGCAAGAAUACAUUCUGACAUCCCCAAAGCAAGUUGUAUGAUAAAGAACAUUAUGUCACAACUAUGGAUAAUCAUUUCUUGCUGGAGAUCAUGUAGAUAAGCCUAUGUAUAAGACAAAAUGUGAUAUUUACACCCCAAUAACACUAGAAAAAGCAUUUUUUGCAUU